AGUUGUCAUAUCAUUUUUUAGUGGUGUCUUUGGAGAAAGGAAGGUCUUCAUGUUAAAUUAUCAAUUUUUCCAAAUUAUCAAUUUAUUUCACUAAUAGUUAAUAUCUGUGUUCUAUUUUAGAAAUUUUCACUUAUGCUGUGGUACUUGUAAAGUUCUGUAGUGUCUUCAAGACAAAGAAAGGGAUAUCUCCAUCCCCAUUUGGAUGUUUGCUUAACCACCAAGCUUGGUGAUCUAUCCCAGCGCUAUAAAUUUGGAGCUCCUGACCAUACCACCAGAGGAGGAAGCACACGGAAGAGGUGUGUGUAAAGAGAGCUGGAUCGACAGGUCUAGUCUACCCUGGAGGGGCAUAUGGAAAAUGAAAUCUAGAAACGUAAGUGACUUGCCUCGGGUCAGCUCCUGGAGAGCCAGCCUUGAACAUGGCCCCAGAUCCUUUAACUCACAGAUGAAAGUGCUGUACCACAGCUACACUACAAGGUGGCAUUCUACCGUCUCCCAGGUUUCACUUUUAUUUCUUAGUCGUGAAGUAUUAUCUACAUCUGUAUCUUAAACGCUAAGUCCAUAUGCUGUGGACAGAACUGUUUCCCCCGCCCCCUCACUCCACAAAUUCUUCUGUUGCAGUCCUAACCCCCAAUGUGACUGUAUUAGGAGGUAAUUAAGGUUAAAUCAUAAAGGCAAGCCCUAAGCCCAUAGGACCGGUGGGCUUGUAAGAGGAAGACAAAGAUACUUCAUUUUCUACACGUACACACACCUGAACAUACAGUGAGAUGGUGGCUAUGUACAAGCCAAGAGAAAAGGCCUCAGAAUGAAAUCUACCUUGCUGGCACCUUGACCUUGGCCCUCCCAGCCUGAGAAAUCUGAGAAAUUUUGUUGUUUAAGCCAUCCAGUCAAUAGUAUUUUGUUUUGGCAGCCUGAGUAGAUUAAUACACCCUAUUAUGGAAAAGAAGGGUGGUUUAAUCUAGAACAGUCUUAAUGUUGGCCAAUUUAACAUACACACAAAACCCCAAAGAACGUUCAAUCCCAACUUCACUUUCAGGCCAUGUAAUCUAAACCACACAAAGUCCACAAGCCAGCAGAGAUUAGUCGUUUUAUACCCUAUUCAGCUGGCCCCUCAACUCCAUUCACAGCCAUGGAGUCAUACUCCUAGACCCUGGGGGAGCAACAUGUGCCAAUGCCACGUCACCAGUGAAUCUCUUACAAUCUCUUUCAUACUUUCAAUACCUGCAUUGUCCAAUCAAGUAGCCACUAGUCAUAUACAGAGAGUAAGUAUUUGAUAUAUGGCUACUCUGAAUUGAGAUGUGCUGUAAGAAUAAAAAAUACACUGGAUUUCAAAGACUUAAUAUGAAAAAAAGAAUGUAAAAUAUAUUAAUAAUUAUUAACAGCUGAAUAUUAUUUUGGAUAUA